GGAGCGGUGGCCGAGUGGUUGAUGGCGGCGGUCUUGAAAACCGCAAGGGUGCGAGCCCUCGUGAGUUCGAAUCUCACCCGCUCCG
rnacentral:tRNA from 1 species